GACGUCACGCGCACCCUUCAAACGACCCAGAAGAGAAGGAUCCGGGAGGCUGCAGCGAAUAUGGUGUUGUUAAGACGCUCCCCUCCAAAUACUGAGUAGGAUCUGUGCCCAUACCGAAAUGAUUGACCACAGAAAGUUUGUCAUGUCCUGCCGUUUGUUUGCUUUUCAUUUUGUCUCGUGUAUUUUUGUUUUAUUUAUGAACACCUUUGCUACUUUUUGUGCAAAACAAUAAACAUUUGAAAAAUUA